UUAUCAAUACAAAAUUAUCAAGUCCAAACACAAGUUAGCUACUGUGAACAGUCGAGGAGUUCUCUUCACUGUCCCUCGUCUUCAUCAUCAGACCCUUAAUACAGU
rnacentral:lncRNA from 1 species